UGAGGAAUAUUGGACAAUGGGCGAAAGCCUGAUCCAGCCAUGCCGCGUGUGUGAAGAAGGUCUUCGGAUUGUAAAGCACUUUAAGUUGGGAGGAAGGGCAGUAAGCUAAUACCUUGCUGUUUUGACGUUACCGACAGAAUAAGCACCGGCUAACUCUGUG
rnacentral:rRNA from 1 species